AAGGAGUUCUUGGACCUGCUGGGGGACACGAUCACACUGCAGGAUUUCAAAGGUUUCCGAGGAGGCCUGGAUGUGACCCACGGACAGACAGGGGUGGAAUCAGUGUACACGACAUUCCGGGACAGGGAGAUCAUGUUUCACGUUUCCACAAAGCUGCCAUUUACCGAGGGAGACGCCCAGCAGCUCCAGAGAAAGAGACACAUUGGAAAUGACAUUGUGGCCAUCAUCUUCCAAGAGGAAAACACGCCGUUUGUCCCAGACAUGAUAGCCUCCAAUUUCUUACAUGCCUACAUCGUCGUGCAGAUCGAGACCCCGGGCACAGAGACCCCAUCCUACAAGGUCCAUACCAUGACUCUGUUUCACUCAGGUCUCUGUCACUGCGCGGGAAGAUGUGCCCACCUUUGGUCCACCUCUGCCCAGCCCCCCCGUUUUCCAGAAGGGCCCAGAGUUCAGGGAGUUUCUGCUCACUAAGCUCACCAAUGCUGAGAACGCCUGCUGCAAGUCGGACAAGUUUGCAAAGUUGGAGGACCGGACCAGGGCUGCCCUCCUGGACAACCUUCACGAUGAGCUCCACGCCCACACACAGGCCAUGCUGGGACUGGGCCC
rnacentral:sRNA from 1 species